UGAGGAAUAUUGGUCAAUGGCCGGGAGGCUGAACCAGCCAAGUCGCGUGAGGGAAGACGGUCCUAUGGAUUGUAAACCUCUUUUGUCAGGGAGCAAAAACUGCCACGCGUGGCAGGAUGAGAGUACCUGAAGAAAAAGCAUCGGCUAACUCCGUGCCAGCAGCCGCGGUAAUACGGAGGAUGCGAGCGUUAUCCGGAUUUAUUGGGUUUAAAGGGUGCGUAGGCGGACAGUUAAGUCAGCGGUAAAAUUGAGAGGCUCAACCUCUUCCCGCCGUUGAAACUGAUUGUCUUGAGUGGGCGAGAA
rnacentral:rRNA from 1 species